rnacentral:rRNA from 1 species
AACGAACGCUGGCGGCAGGCCUAACACAUGCAAGUCGAGCGAGGACUUCGGUCCUAGCGGCGGACGGGUGAGUAACGCGUGGGAACGUGCCCUUUGCUUCGGAAUAGCCCUGGGAAACUGGGAGUAAUACCGGAUGAGCCCUUUGGGGGAAAGAUUUAUCGGCGAAGGAUCGGCCCGCGUUGGAUUAGGUAGUUGGUGGGGUAAUGGCCUACCAAGCCGACGAUCCAUAGCUGGUUUGAGAGGAUGAUCAGCCACACUGGGACUGAGACACGGCCCAGACUCCUACGGGAGGCAGCAGUGGGGAAUCUUAGACAAUGGGGGAAACCCUGAUCUAGCCAUGCCGCGUGAGCGAUGAAGGCCUUAGGGUUGUAAAGCUCUUUCAGCUGGGAAGAUAAUGACGGUACCAGCAGAAGAAGCCCCGGCUAACCCCGUG